GUUGAUAAGGGAUUUAAGGUGGAACGGGAGUUUUUGUUUGUUCUUGGUUUGCUAGUAGGGCAGGGACGGUAGUGCCGACAGCAGGAAAAGGUGGUAGUGUGACUAGUGUUUAUACAGUUUAUACGAGCUGCUUGCCUGUAACUGUAUAUUUCAGAAUAAUGUGGUGCUGGAGAGAAGCUCCAUGUUUUAGACCUGUCAUUGAUAAGUCACUAGUCCUCAGUAUCAGUUUCUAUUUGCGAUUGCUGGAUCAACAUUUAAAAAGUAAAAUAAGGGGUACUGGUAUUCUGUAGAGAUAUAGCAUUAUAAAAUUAUUUCCUGUUAGGUUGUGAUGUCCUGUAAGAGCAAACAGUAUUUCAGGUGGAUUGCAGGGACAGCAACCAAACACUUCAUAGUUUAACGUCAUUCAGAGUAUUGUCUCAUUGGAGUCACUCGGAGGAAUAACCAAAAGAAAAGAGCAGCUAGAACAUCACAGACAAUGUGAGAGACAUCUGGAUUCCUCAUAAACUGCGUCUUAGGGCUUUUUCAUAUAAUCAAUAAAAGUGUGCUUAAUUGUAUUUUAUUGUUUGCAUGAUACUUCUACAAAUCUCUGGACCAGCCCAGUUGUAUAAAUAACCCAAAGAGCUGCUUAGUCUGGGCAUGUCUUUAGAGACAACUUCCCGAGAAGUAACUAUAUUAGUUUGAUGCAGCAGAAACAACAUUCAGGGGGCACCUUCAAGAGUAACAAAUAUAUUCUGGCACCUGGCUUUCAUGCAGCUAAUGAAGUUGAUGCUGGUCUAUUAAAGUUUAUGCCAUAAUAAAUAUGCUAGUAUUUUAAGGUGCCAUAAGACACUCUUAAUAUUUUAAGAGGUAUCAGUGAAGCAACUUAGUAUCUGAGAGACGAAUCCCAGAAUUUCGUGCAAUAUUAUAGAGGAUGCUGUGGUAUGACUUUGAGAGGUGGGUCCCCAAGCUCUUCCGUAACACUGCCAAAAUCAUAAGAAAUAGCUUUCUAAGGCUGCUUCCAGAUGUGUGCUUAAUUUGCAAAGUGGCUAUUGAGAUAUCAUAAAUGGGAUACUGGCAACAGUUUUUUGUUUUACUUACUGGAUUUUUUUUCCUGGAAAGGGAAAGUACAGAUUAAAUAAGUAGCUGUCUAGUGGAACUUGUUGGUAUUGUCUGGGGCCUGUUAACAUUUACUUCAAGGAAUGGAGUUAUAAGCCCUUCAGAAGCCUGCUAUGAACUGUGUGCAAGGCACUUUGAAGAUAAAGUCACUUGCCUCCAUCACAAUGACACCACAUUUAUUGCAAUCUCCAUCCAACACAAUGUCUUCUGUGACAUGCUUUUGUUGAUGUAACUGCCAUUUUGUAUGUUGUAUACUGCCUCACUGUACUCUUAUGAAAAUAUUAUCAUAGCAUCAGUUUCAGUUGAUGCAGCCUGAUGAUGUGCACAAGGUACUUGCAUUGAUGCAUCUAACUAUGUGUUCCCUUGACCUUUGCCCCUCUUGCCUUAUUAAGGUAUAUCGAGGUCAUAUAACUGGGUGGAUCAAGGGUGUGGUCAAUGUAUCUUUGCUAGAGGGAGUGAUCUGGCAUUCUUGAAAGACAUGCUGAUCCUGAAAAAGCCCACCCUGGGCCCAUUGGUUUGUGAUAACAUAUUGCCAGGUUGCAAAUGCUACCUUUUGGGGGAAGGUGAUCAAGACGGUUGUGGUGGGGCCGUUGGCAAGCAUUCAUCAAUGAAGCAGAUUAUCUCAACCUAUUCCACUCUGGGUUCAGGCCUGGUCUGGGGACUGAAUCAGCCUUGGCUGCUCUGAUGGAUGACCUUUGUAAAGAGAAGGUCAGGGAGUGCACAACCCCUGUUAUUUUUGCUUGAUCUCUCAGUGGCUUUUGAUACCGUUGACCCAUGGUAUCCUCCUGACCUGACUUGGUAAGAUGGGUAUUGGGCAGGGCUGUGGAGUCAGUAUGUCAAACCUUCAACUCCGACUCCUCUAUUUUUCUACUGUCCGACUCUGACUCCUCUAUUUUUCUACUGUCCAACUCUGACUCCUCUAUUUUUCUACUGUCCAACUCUGACUAUAAAUGGCAAAUGUAUAUUAAUUUUUCUACUGUCUGACUCCGACUCUGACUCCUUCAUAAAUGGCAAAUGUAUAUUAAUCUAUUAAUAUUAAUAUUAAAAUAUUAAUUUUAUUUUGAAGUCAGAGUCAGUACAUUUCUACCGACUCCGACUCCACCCAAAAUUGCUUCCAGCUCCACCCAAAAUUGCUUCUGACUCCACAGCCCUGGUAUUGGGGCCACUGUUUGUCCAGUGGCUCUGCUCCAGGAUUAUUCAGAUAAUAUCACUGGGUGAUUAUUUUUCAGUUCCAUGGCAAUUUUGCAGUGGGGUGCCACGUGGUACCAUCUUGUCCCUAAUGCUAUUUAACAUCUGCAUGAAGCGGUUGGGAAUGGUCAUUAGAAGAUUUUGAGAAGGUGUGAUCAGUAUGCUGAUGACACCCAGCAAUAUUUCUCUGUAACAACUGAAUCAGGUGAGGCCAUGCAAGCUCUAGAUCAUUCCUGUUCUUGGUGGUGGGCUGGAUGAGAGCCACCAAACUAAAACUGAAUUCUGGCAAGACUGAGGUCCUAUGCUUGAGCAGUUUCCAAGGUCUGAUAAUAUGCCUGCUUUGGAUGAGUUCAUACUCCUCCUGAAGGAGCAGAUUCAUAGUCUGGGAAGGCUCCUGGAUAUUUGUCACUAGAGGCCCAGGUGACCUCAAUGACACCAGCUUCAACUGGUGGGACAGCUAUGGACACUGCUGGACUGGGACAGCCUGACCACUGUCAUCCAUUCUUUGGUAACCUCCAGAGUGGACUGUGGCCAUGUGCUCUAUGUGGGGCUGCUUCUGAGUUGGCCUAGAAGCUGCAACUAUUGCAAAAUGCAGUGGCUGAACUGCUCAUUAGGCCAAAAUAUUGUGAUCGUGUUACACAGAUGCUGAAAGACUUAUACUAGCUGCCACUUAGAUACCAGGCUAAGGGCAAGGUGCUGGUACUUACACAGCUUAGGAGCAGGAUACCUAAAAGAUCAUUUCACCCCUUAUAUACCCAAUUGAUCACUGCACUUUGCAGGAGAGAGCUUCCUGCAGAUAAAUAUCUUGUCAGGAGGUCCAUUCGGUAGUGUAGAAAUAGGACCUUCAGUGUGGUGGCACCUUCCAUUUAGAAAUCCCUUCUGUUGCAUAUCAGGAAAACACUAUCUUUACUGACUUUUCAAUGCCUACUUUCCUCUUGAAUCCUUUUAAGUGGAUAUUUUUAUCCUAGAUUUUAUCUGCAUUGGAUUUAAACUGUAUUUAUAUGUGUUUUUAUUGUUAAACUACUUCAGUUGGCCUUGGUUCUGAUGGACGAUGCUUAUUUUUUGGGAAGCAAUUUGUAAAUUAAAUAAAUAAUUAUAAAUAAUUGAAAACUACACAAGCUACUAGUGGCAUUUGUACAAAUUAUACAAAUAUACUGGCUGGUGCAGAUGUACCCAGACACACAUUGACAUCUAUCAGAAUAUUCAGCUCCAAUACUGUCCCAUCUGCACUAUCUUCCAAUCUGUUUCUAAGCCUAAUUCAAAGUUCUUUUUUUAAAAGUUGGGUCACCUAAUGGAAUGGUGAAGUCAGGCAAUUGAUAGAUGGGCAACCCUGCUCAUCUGUCAAAAUGGCCCAUGGGGGAAGAACUCUAGAUCCAGCCCAUAUAUAAAUACUUUUAUAAAUAAAUAAAAUAACUAUUUAAAAACCUACUUUACACAGAAGGCCCAUGAAGGCAGAGAUGCUUAAGGUCAUACUUCUAUGCAUUCAAAUGUAGUUGUUUAAUUUCCAGGCUAUUACUCUAAAAAUCUAAAACCAUAUAAAUCCAUGUCAGCAUUUGUUGGAUAAGCCAUGCUCAAACUCUCUCAUCAAUCACACAGGACCUCAGUCCAGCUUUCAUGCAUUACUUAUGGUCUUUCUCCAGAAUGUUGGAGAGGAUGUGGGGCCCUAUGUACCUAUUUUCAUCUAUGGUGGGAAUGCUCCUGUAUAAAAACCUUAUUGGAUGGAGGUUUUUGAAGAAUUAUCCAUGCUCCCAUUCAGAUGUUAUGUGUUUCAGUUGUUGAUGAAUAUUACUCUAUUUUAUUUAAAUAUCUUGUAAUAUAUCUUUUAUUUGCUGCUCAUCUUUCACUUGCUCAAACAUGGAAAACUGUGAAUAACUUGAACAUUUCCCUUUUGUCUAAGAAUACCUGGAAGAUUGCCAUUUUGCAAAAAGUUACACUUUCUUUAUGAUUAAGUCAAGGGAGAGCUAAACCAGAUGCAUUUCAUGUGGUUUCAUGGGACUUUAUUUUGUAUACUUCUGAACAUCAAAUGCAGCAGUGCUUGUCACUGGCCUUUCAAGAAAUCUGGGACUCAUAAUUUGCUUUUGCACUGUUUGUCAUAUUACUUUAUGUCACCAUCCA